UCGAAACAAAGUAGAGAUACUUGAAAGUGUUUCUAAG
rnacentral:rRNA from 5 species